UUAUCCGGGAAUUAUUGGGUUUAAAAGGGUUCGUAGGCCGGUUGAGUAAGUCAGUGGUGAAAUCUUAUAGCUUAACUAUAAAAUUGCCGGUUGAUACUGCUUGACUUGAAUAGUAUGGAAGUAAUUAGAAUAUGUAGUGUAGCGGUGAAAUGCUUAGAUAUUACAUGGAAUACCAAUUGCGAAGGCAGAUUACUACGUACUUAUUGACGCUGAUGAACGAAAGCGUGGGUAGCGAACAGGAUUAGAUACCCUGGUAGUCCACGCCGUAAACGAUGGAUACUAGCUGUUCGGUUUUCGGACUGAGUGGCUAAGCGAAAGUGAUAAGUAUCCCACCUGGGGAGUACGUUCGCAAGAAUGAAACUCAAAGGAAUUGACGGGGGCCCGCACAAGCGGUGGAGCAUGUGGUUUAAUUCGAUGAUACGCGAGGAACCUUACCAAGGCUUAAAUGUAGAUUGACAGGUUUAGAGAUAGACUUUUCUUCGGACAAUUUACAAGGUGCUGCAUGGUUGUCGUCAGCUCGUGCCGUGAGGUGUCAGGUUAAGUCCUAUAACGAGCGCAACCCCUAUUGUUAGUUGCCAGCGGGUCAAGCCGGGAACUCUAACAAGACUGCCGGUGCAAACCGUGAGGAAGGUGGGGAUGACGUCAAAUCAUCACGGCCCUUACGUCUUGGGCUACACACGUGCUACAAUGGCCAGUACAGAAAGCAGCUACCAGGCAACUGGAUGCGAAUCUCAAAAACUGGUCUCAGUUCGGAUUGGAGUCUGCAACUCGACUCCAUGAAGCUGGAAUCGCUAGUAAUCGGAUAUCAGCCAUGAUCCGGUGAAUACGUUCCCGGGCCUUGUACACACCGCCCGUCAAGCCAUGGAAGCUGGGGGUACCUGAAGUCGGUCGCCGCAAGGAGC
rnacentral:rRNA from 1 species